UUUCUUUCUUUUUUUCUUUCUCUCUUUCUUUCUUUCUCUCUUUCUUCUUUCACUCUCUCUCUCUCCCUCCUUCCUCCUCCCUCCCUCUCUCCUUCCCUGCCUCUCUCCCCCCCCGUCUCGUCUCAUCUCUUCUCUCUCUCUCUCUUUCUUUCUUCCUCUCUCUCUCUCUUCCUUCCUUCCUCUUCCUUUUGUUUUGUUUCUUUCCUUUCCUUUUUUGCUUCUUUCCUUCUUUCUUUCUUCCCUCCUUCCCUCUCUUCCUUUCCUUUCCUUUCUCUCUUUCUUCUUUUUGUUUCUCUUGCCAUGUGACAUGCCUGGUUUCACUUUACCUUCCACCAUUUUUGUAAGCUUCCUAAGGGCCUGACCAGAAGCAGAUGCUGGCACCAUACUUCCUAUACAGCCUGCAGAACAGUGAUCCAAUUAAACCUCUUUUCCUUAUACAUUACCCAGCCUCAGGUACAUCUUUAUAGCGGUGCUAUAAAGGUGCUAUAAAAAUGCAAGAAUGAAAGAACACAGAAAAUUGGUACCAAAAGUAGAUUGUUGAUGUAAGGAUAAUGCAAAUGUGAAAGCAGCUUUGGAACUGGGUAAAAAGUACAGGUUUGAAGAGCUUAGAGGGCUCAGAAGAAGACAGACAGAUGAGGGAAAGUUUGGAGCUUCCUGGGGACUGGUCAGCUGGUUGUGACCAAGAUGCUGAUAGAGAUACGGACAGUGAAGUCCAGGCUGCUGAGGUCUCAGAUGGAAUGAGAUAGUUAUUGGGAACUGGAGCAAAGUUCACCCUUGUGAUGCCUUAGUAAAAAGCUUGGCUGAAUUCUUUUCAUGCCCUAGAGAUCUGUGGAAGUUUGAAAUUUAAUUACUGCACCAUUGGGUUUAGGACUUGUGUGGGGCCUGUUCUUUUGGUUGUUUUCUCCCUUUUGGAAUGGUAAUGUUUACCCAAGGCCUGUACCACCAUUGCAUCUUAGGUGUAAAUAACUUGUUUAGAUUCUACAGGCUCAUAGGUGACAGGAGGUUAGUCUCAGAUGAGACUUAGGAUGUUAAACUUGAUGCUGGAACGACUUAGAACUUUGGGGGAUUAUUGAGAAGGGAUUAUUGCAUUUUGCAAUGUGAGAAAGGCAUGAGAUUUGGUGGGCCAGGGGUGGAAUUAUAUACUUUUAAUAUUUGUCCCAUCCAAAUCUUAUGUUGAAAUGUAGCUGCCAGUGUUGAGGUGGGCCUAGUGGGAGGUGUUUGGGUCAUGGGGCCACGUGGAUCCUUCGUGAAUAAAUUGGUGCUGCCCUCAUGACAAUGAGUUGUUGCUCCCAGUUCAUGUGAGACUGGUUGUUUAAAAGAGUGUGGCACUUUCCACCUCUCUCUCUCCUACUCUCACCAUGUGACAUGCCUGCUCCUCAUUCACAUUCCACCAUAAUUGUAAGCUUCUUGAGUCCCUCACCAGCAGCAGAUACUGGCACCAGAUUUCCUGUAGAGCCUGCAUAACCAUGAGCCAAUUAAACCUCUUUUCUUUAUGGAUUACCCAAGCUCAGGUGAUCCUGGCCCUCUGUCCCAAAGCCACAGACGCUGCAGGCAACUGAGUCCGCUCAGAGGAGGCCACUGAGCCUACAAGAUAGGACAGGAGAGAUUGAGCUAUAAAACCAUGACAAGUGCAUGGAGCAGCUAUUUGAGCACCAGGAAAGGAAAUGGUACGCAGCAGUUUGGGAUGGCCCCAGCAGAUGAAAUACAACAGAGUCAGUGUGAGACUGCUGGAUUUCCUCACUGUCCCCUGGCUGGGACUCCAGACAGCCCCAAACCUGAAGGGGCACAAACCUGAAAACAAAAAGAAGUCCAGAAAGCCCUCUUGUUCAGGAUCGAACUUGGGAAAGAAAACUUAUUUGGCUCAAAGUGAAGGCUCAGUCCCCUGCACAAGCAGGUGGUUCACACCUGUGUUCUCAUCUCUCUUAUACCAGCGCCUCUCCCUGGGUUCACACUGAUGUCCUAUGGAUGGAGACGGGGCUUCCUGCACCAGGUCACUCCACAGCCCCUGUAACCUGAAGCCCUGCAGACCAGCCUUGUUCAAUCACAAUGUGAUGUGAGCCUCAUGGGAAUCCCACUGUCUAGUCAUCAUGUUAUAAAUACAAAGAGAAGAAGUCAAUGAGUUUAAAUAAUGUAUUUUAUUUACCUAGCAUAUCAAAAAGAGUAUCAUUUUCAUAUAUAAUCU
rnacentral:lncRNA from 10 species